AGUGAACGCUGGCGGUAGGCCUAACACAUGCAAGUCGAACGGCAGCACAGUAAGAGCUUGCUCUUACGGGUGGCGAGUGGCGGACGGGUGAGGAAUACAUCGGAAUCUACUUUUUCGUGGGGGAUAACGUAGGGAAACUUACGCUAAUACCUCAUACGACCUACGGGUGAAAGCAGGGGAUCUUCGGACCUUGCGCGAUUGAAUGAGCCGGUGUCGGAUUAGCUAGUUGGCGGGGUAAAGGCCCACCAAGGCGAUGAUACGUAGCUGGCCUGAGAGGGUGGGCGGCCACAUUGGGACGGAGACACGGACAAGACCCCUACGGGAGGCAGCAGUAGGGAAUCUUCGGCAAUGGACGAAAGUCUGACCGAGCAACGCCGCGUGAGUGAAGAAGGUUUUCGGAUCGUAAAACUCUGUUGGUAGAGAAGAACGUUGGUGAGAGUGGAAAGCUCAUCAAGUGACGGUAACUACCCAGAAAGGGACGGCUAACUACGUG
rnacentral:rRNA from 1 species